GNNNUUAGGAUCGUAGGUAGAGUUUUGCCUACUACAGCAGCCCUACCCGGGGCUGCUAGUCUCCCUGCGAGGCGACACGCUCAAUGUGCGGAGAGCCCCUACUGCUAGGGCAAUCCGCAGUGGCCUGCGCGGCCAUUCAGAGACUCAAUGAGCGUGGGUUCAGCCUGGCUGAGCUUGAGAUAGAGCCCGUCCCCGCCGGCAAUGGCGGGGAAUCAACGGAACCUGCGGAAGGAUCAUUAAAGAAAACACGCCUCCGGGCGCUAUUCUCCUACCCUUUGUUUACCACACUCAGUUGCCUUGGCGCACCGCGCCAGUGGAACGAAACUCCUGAAUCAUUGCUGUCUGAGUACUAUUCAAUAGUUAAAACUUUCAACAACGGAUCUCUUGGUUCUGGCAUCGAUGAAGAACGCAGCGAAAUGCGAUAAGUAAUGUGAAUUGCAGAAUUCAGUGAAUCAUCGAAUCUUUGAACGCACAUUGCGCCCCCUGGUAUUCCGGGGGGCAUGCCUGUUCGAGCGUCAUUACAACCCUCAAGCUCUGCUUGGUGUUGAGCCCGCCCCGCUUACCCGGGGCCCGCUUCAAAAUCAGUGGCGGCCGCCGUCCGACCUUCAGCGCAGUAAUGCUCGUCGCUGCUAGGGAGGUACGCGCCGUCAUCCAACCCCCACACACAAGGUUGACCUCGGAUCAGGUAGGGAUACCCGCUGAACUUAAGCAUAUCAUAA
rnacentral:rRNA from 1 species